GUGUUUGUUUUAGCAGCACAUAUACUAAAAUUGGAAUGACACAGAAAUUAGCAAUGGCCUCUGUGCAAGGAUAAAGAGCAAAUUCAUGAAACAGUUCUUAUUUUU
ensembl:snRNA U6 U6 spliceosomal RNA